rnacentral:rRNA from 1 species
CUAUCUGCCGUGGGCGCUGGAGAACUGAGGGGGGCUGCUCCUAGUACGAGAGGACCGGAGGGGACGCAUCACUGGUGUUCGGGUUGUCAUGCCAAUGGCACUGCCCGGUAGCUAAAUGCGGAAGAGAUAAGUGCUGAAAGCAUCUAAGCACGAAACUUGCCCCGAGAUGAGUUCUCCCUGACUCCUUGAGAGUCCUGAAGGAACGUUGAAGACGACGACGUUGAUAGGCCGGGUGUGUAAGCGCAGCGAUGCGUUGAGCUAACCGGUACUAAUGAACCGUGAGGCUUAACCUUACAACGCCGAAGGUGUUU